rnacentral:rRNA from 1 species
UACGGAGGGUGCAAGCGUUAUCCGGAUUCACUGGGUUUAAAGGGUGCGUAGGCGGGUUUGUAAGUCAGUGGUGAAAUCUUCGAGCUUAACUCGGAAACUGCCGUUGAUACUAUAGAUCUUGAAUAUUGUGGAGGUGAGCGGAAUAUGUCAUGUAGCGGUGAAAUGCUUAGAUAUGACAUAGAACACCGAUUGCGAAGGCAGCUUGCUACACAAUCAUUGACGCUGAGGCACGAAAGCGUGGGGAUCAAACAGG